rnacentral:lncRNA from 1 species
CUCACAGGCACUUUGUCCAGGAAGCGAGGGCCUUGCGUGCGGCCACACGGACUGCAAGCAGUUCCCAUCAGAUGCUCCACCGGACGGCCUGGGAGGAACGGCCCUGAGGGCUCCUGUUCCUGCGUGCACCCUCGACUCUUCCCCUGCCUCCGACACAAGGAAGUUGGAGCCGUUCUGGAAGCUGGAAGCUGCUCUUCUGCCCGAUGCUGGUUUGAGAGGCAGUCAGGAGGGCUCCACCCCUGUCAACAGGACCAAAGUCCCAGAGUCGAGAGCUCGGCUGGGCCACUUCCUGAGGGAGAUGCAGCUCCACGAGGCCUGGAGGCUGAGGAGAGUCAGGAGGAGACGCUGGAGAGGAGGGCCCAGCGUGGCCCAGCCUGCCCUGCGGCUCCUGGGGCUGCAGGUGCCAGUCGCACCUUCAGGGCUGCGGUUGGGUGUCCUCCACGGUGCUUGCGAGGGGGACCUUGAGGUUUCUUCUGGCCUCGGCUUCCUCUCACAACAACAAGGGUUGGUUCCUCGAAGGGCAAGUGUCCUCUGGAUCUGGUUCUGCAUGCACUCUCCCAGCUCCUGCUGGUACAUGUUUCCUGGGUCCUGACGCUCGUUUGCUGACAGGUCCUUCCUUCCUCGUCAGACCCUGAGCUUCUCCAGCUGCGUGACACUGAUGUCAUGGAGGAGCAGAGCUGGAGCAGAUCACUGGGGAAUCCGUGUCAUCAUACAGACAUCUCUGCGUCAUGUUCCAGCACAGAUAGAGCAUUUGCCUUCAACAGGGAGAAGAAGGACACCUCUUCGGGUCCAGAAGAUGUAGGGAAACCUGAGGUUCAAGAAUUUGAGUGUAUUGAUCAGAUGACCCUCCCUGAAGCCUCAGGGUCUCCCUUCUUCCCAACCAGGUCCUGCCAUUGGGCAGCAGCCUCCCUUGGGUUGAGGGCUGCUGUCUUUAGGACUGAGUCUUGAUCCACGGCUCUUUUUGGUUCUCUGGCUGCAGGAGAGGAGAGUGUCUAUAUGGCACCAAGGAAGCCCUCUUUUUGUCACUUUUUUUAAAAAUUGGAGAUCUUUUCAUUGCCUUGUUCUUGGCAAGAGCCGCCUGAUUCUGUAAUGCAGAUGGUUGCUGCUCUUCCCAGCCACUCCGAUGCCCUGGAUGCGGCACCCAGCAGUGUGUUUCUUUCAUUGGGCUUCCACCCUGGCUCAGUGCUACUACUGCCUGGCAGGGCUGUGGUGCCACCAGUGAUGUGCCACUUGGCAUUCUGUGCUCAACCCCACCAUACAGGCUGCUCCUGGAACACUCCUGGCCCCACCAUCUUCUGCUGGGCUCCCCUGGACACAAACUCUGAAGCAGAGGUUUGUGUGCAAGAGGUUAUUGGGAGUGUUCUCGGAAGAAAAGUCCUGUGAGCAUGGGAGGGAAGAAGGAUCGGGCAGAGGAGUAUCUUGACCACUGUGCAGGUCUGCGGGGCCUCGGCUGACCCUCCGAGAUGCUCAGCAGCUGAGGCUGCUGGUCAGUUGUCUUGAUGGAGGCAGAGCCUUGGUC